rnacentral:tRNA from 1 species
CGCGGGGUAGAGCAAUUGGUAGCUCGUCGGGCUCAUAACCCGGAGGUUGCAGGUUCAAGUCCUGUCCCCGCAA